CCGCCUCCAGCCCGCCUCAGAGGAAAGUGAGCUACAGGAUAGGAAGCUGCGGGUCUGCGCAGCCUGAGUGCACAGAGUACCUGUAAUGCCUGUGGUGCCGGCCGGGAGGGUUGGGCCCAGAAGAAGGCAGACUAGCCCCUGCCCUGCCCAACUUCAGUCCAGCCAAAGAGAAGUAAACGAGGGAGUGGGUGUUAGGUAAGGAAAGUACCCUGACCGGACGGGUUAGGUGAGAAGGUUUCUUGGAGGAACUGAGACCGGAAGAUGGAAGGAAUUCGCUAGGCCAGAGGCGGGAGGGUGCCCAGGGGAGGGGACAGAGUUCCAGUAAGAGAAAAUAGCAGGCCUCGGUGAGAGGAUCACCAUAGGUUCCAGAAACUAAAACAAUUUUUGACCAAUAUGGCUGGAGCAUAGAGUAGUCCAGCAAGAAAUAAAGCUGGACAGAGAAUGGAAGUCAGAUUCUAGAAGACUCUAGAGGUUCACACCUCUAGAGGCUUUUAAAGUGGGAACGUGGCAUAAUCAGAUCUACAUUUCAUAAAGGUCACUCUGCAGAGUGCAUUGGGAGAAGAUCAGACUAGGGACAGGAAAAUCAGAAGACUGGCAUUGAUGUGGACUAGGAUGGGGGCAGUGAGGAUGAAGAGAGAGGGGUGGAUUUGAAAGAUGUUUUGCACAUAGAAUUAACAAAUUUUGGAUGAGGUGGCAGGGUAGGUGAGAAUUCAAGAGAAUGAAGAGUAAAGAUGAUUUAUUUCUGCAUCAGCAAGGUCAAUGGUGACCAUACAAGUUAUCGCUCGCUCCCCUCCAUAUUUUUAGCACUUUCAGAGCUGUUACCUUACUGCCUUGAGUGUUUCUCUUUUGCGUAGAGAAUUUAUUGCUGUUCCAGAUUAGAGCUUCCUUGAAGAAAUGGACAUCUUCAGGUUUUCCUUUGCUUAGAUUGUACCGCAAAUUACCCAUUUGAUCAUUUGCUGAAUGAUCCAAUGAAUCAAUGGCCCCAAGGGUUUGAUCCUCAAAACUAAAAAAAAAAGCUGUCAGAAAGGCCAGUCCUCAAGAGGUACAUUUAUAGUCAUGUGCCCCAUAAUGACAUUUUGAUCAUCGACACUUCGAAC
rnacentral:lncRNA from 1 species